rnacentral:lncRNA from 1 species
UUUUUUUUUUUUUUUUUUUUUUUGGUCUCUUUAGGGCCACAUCUGGGGCAUAUGUUAGUUCCCAGGCUAGGGGCUGAAUUGGAGCUGCAGCUUCUGGCCUGUGCCAGAGCCACAGCAGCACCAGACCUGAGCCACGUCUGCGACCUACACCACAGGUAACAGCAAUGCUGGAUCCUUAACCCACGGAGCAAGGCCAGGGAUUAAACCCACAUCCUCAUGGAUCCUAGUCGGGUUUGCGUUUCCACUGAGUGACAACAGGAACUCCAUGUAGUAUGUCAAAGGAGUGCAUUUCUUGGUGAUCACAGCAAAGGAUUCAAUGAGACUAGAGAUUUUGUCUUUGAGUGUUGUACAGAGGCCUCCACAAAUACGGCCCCUGGUAAAAACGAAGCAGUCUAAGGCUAUGCCUGAUUACACAGUACCUAGGAAGUUGUGGUAUAUUUGGUUUGUCUUUACUAGUUCCCAUGACUUCCGGAUUUCUCUGGAAGUUCCAAAUUAAAAGCACACUCCCAGGUUAAAUUUCCAGACCAGCUUCUUUGAGAGCUAGUGGAUAAAGGGAAACACACGAUACCUCGCAAUUGCUUUGUCUGUGUGUCUCACAUCCAGGUUAAACCCUGAAUUAGUAACAACCCUUCCUUUCUGCCUCCUCCCCCAGUAACGAGGGCAGCUGUCUGGCCUGUGCCCAAGUUUCCACAAUAGAGAAGAUUAGGACACAGCUCUGUUUCUAGGAGGCGGCCAUGGAUACAAAGGCUACUUUUAGGACCAAGCCUGCACUUUCGGUAGUCAAACUGCUAUAUGCCACUCACUUUCAGUGACAGUGAAUAGCAAGGUUCUAAGUCAGCCACUAGAAGGACUAAAAAAUAUAGGAAUAUAAUCAAUCCUUUGCCUUCAGGACCCACAGCUGAAGAAACUCAGACACGUAGGGGAAGACAACACAGGCAAUACAAGCUGACACGGCUGCCUUUGAAGAAUCUGGGUGUCGGGAUUCCCUUUGCGGCACAGUGGUUAACGAACCUGACUAGGAUCCAUGAGGAUGUUCAUGGGACCCGCUACCUACAGCGGGAACUCUUUGGGGGAGCUUAUUAGAUCCACAGUGGAAAGAGGUACAGGUAAUACCAUAAUAUAUGCAAGAAGACUAGAGAAUAAUCAGUCUAGACGGAAGCAGAGGGAGGAUGAUGAAAUCAUCCAAUGAGACAGACUGCAGACUGCAGCUCCGAUGGAAAAUUUGGGGGUGAAUGAAUGAACUGUAGAUAGAACAAAAGACAACGCAAAGGGGAAGUAACUAACACCCUCGAGAAAACAAAAAGUUUUAAAAGAAACAAACACAACCACAGCACACAAGGAUUCAAUUAGGAGUAACAGUUAUAAAGUCAAUCAACAUUGAAAUAAAUGAAAUAAUUCCAAGUACUU